AAAUUUGAGAGGAGCUGUCCUUAGUACGAGAGGACCGGGAUGGACGCACCGCUGGUGUACCAGUUGUCCCGCCAGGGGCACCGCUGGGUAGCUAUGUGCGGAAGGGAUAAGCGCUGAAAGCAUCUAAGCGUGAAGCCCCCCUCAAGAUGAGAUUUCCCAUCGCGUGAAGCGAGUAAGAUCCCUCGAAGAUGACGAGGUUGAUAGGUCCGAGGUGGAAGCGUGGCGACACGUGGAGCUGACGGAUACUAAUCGAUCGAGGACUUAACCA
rnacentral:rRNA from 1 species